rnacentral:pre_miRNA from 1 species
UUAACGGAAAUUUGUAUGGAGUUCGAACGUUUGCCACAUUUGCCACUAGGGGCGCUUUUCCAACUGUAUUCAAAUUUGAGUUA